CGUUCCCGGGCCUUGUACACACCGCCCGUCAAGUCACGAAAGUCGGUAACACCCGAAGCCGGUGGCCCAACUCUUUGAGAGGGAGCCGUCGAAGGUGGGACUGGCGAUUGGGACU
rnacentral:rRNA from 1 species